GCACGUAUACAAUUUUACCCCGGAACGCUAAACUGGAAGUUAGCCUGCUCGGCUGGCAAAAGUCAAGACAGUGGACGCUAUAGCGCUACUGCUGACUAGCUUUUGGGGGUGUAAUUGCAGAAUGACAGAGACACCCACGCACAAGUAUAAAUGCAUGACUAUGUGCGGGUUUUUUUGCAUUCCUGUUUAUUUUCAUCUCAUCUGAAGAACUGUGCAAGAACGUAAAACUUUAAACAACUUUAAACAUUACAAAACAUUUCCUCCUCUCGUUCCAGUGUUUGCUUAGCCUGCUGUCUGAUUAAAGGUCUCAUCAUACCAGCGUUUAAAGCAGAUACAUUUUGCAGCAAAUUUCAAUAACUUCAGUGUUGUUCUGAAACUUUGGUGAACUUUGACAGACACAUUUGCAUCACUGACCAAUUGAAAGCCGUCUAAACAGAGAUGACCUUUUAAGGGGAAGGAGAGCCGGAGAGUUCGAAAUCUAUCGUAGUUUGUAAGCUGUGUAACAUAUUCACAUUUAUUUAACCUCAUCUGUAUCACUUGCUCCAAAACAAAGCAAUGGUUUACAGACCAUUAUGAGACAGCAGUCAAUGGCACAUAGACUUCUUAUCUGUGUGAACGUAUAUGUCUCAUUAAGCUAAGCUAACAAGGUAAUGAGUCUGCUAACUGUAGAGCUUUGGAAACAGGCUUUUAGGCUCAGCAGGAGCCGUCGUUAGGCUUCUCUACAAGACGACAUUCCACUUAAAUAGUUCCUGAAAUAACAAAAGAUUCAUAGCUGCACUAUCAGGGUUCACAAACCCCUCAUAAAUACAUUGAAAGCAUCUGUUCUGUGAGUGCAUGUUCUACACUUCAGCAUAUACACUCUAAAAAGUAACGUUAUAUCAGGGUGUCAAACGUUCUUCAAAAACACCCAAAUGUGCCAACAUAGUACUUAGAAAUAAUAUAAUACAAUUUUAAAUAAACUUUUUUCUAAGAAGCUGUUAGUUCCUUGUGUAGCUGUGUGUGUAUGCAUGUGUGUUUUGUUAAUAAUUUGGUAGUCUUGGGUGUCCCCAAGUUGUUGUUUCGGUUAUCAUGUUAACUGAGUGCUGGUCUGGGGGCCUGAUUGUCCGUUGGUGUCGCCUGCAGUCAAAGGGCUGCUCUCAUUCAGGUUACUGUCUGCUGUCGAGUCUGUAAGAAAGAGAAAAAAAAAAGGUUCUGGAUAAAAGGAUGAAGAAACAAAGGCCUUAAUUUUAAGCAGAAAAACUAAUUCUGAUUAACAAACCAAGAAAACCAAACCAAGAAAAGUUUCCUACAUGGAAUAAAAAGAAUAAUCUGUGAUUUGUUGAUUCAUGUGAACCUUUAUUAAACUGACUGAGUGCCGGUGUAGGGGCCUGAUUGUCCGUUGGUGCCGCCUGCAGUCAAACGGCUGCUCUGGGAAGAGACGCCACCUUGAUGGCAACAUAAAGUAUGUCUGUCUGAAAUCUCAAUAGCCAAUAUGCCUCUGCGUCAGUGGCAGGCCUGCCCACAGAAAUGAAUUUUGGUUCAAAAUAAAAUGUGGUUAUCUUUGCUUAUAUUUAGGAUGAACAUCAUUAGUGCAGGAAUGCAUGGGCCCCCCAUAGCAGCUGGGCCCCAGAAAGCUUUCCCCUUUUUCACCCCUUAUGGGCGGCCCUGGUCAACUCACCCACGCCGUGGGCACUAAUGCAUCCCCAUACUAUCACAGAUGCUGCCAUCACAGCGGUUUCCGACUUUGCCCUUUACAGACUGAGAUGUCUCCAAAUUCCCUGAAUCUUUUCACAUUAUGAACUCUUGAUUUUGAAAGACUUAAAUUCUCUGCAAUCUUGUGUUGAGAAACGUUCCCUUUGAACUGACUAACAAUUUUCUUCUGAAUUUUGGCACAAAGGGGUGAGCCGCGGCCCAUCCUUAUUUGCAAACAUUAAGCCUUGGGCAAAUGCGAUUUUAGAUCUAAUCAUGACACCUGACCUGCUAUCAGUUAGCUUGCUUUUUGUGACGAUGUAAUAUUUGAAUAUUUUGUUGACUUUUCAGUUUUAUUUUAACUUGUUCCCAACUUUUGUUGAGUGUGUUGCAAACAUGAAAUUCUAACUUUGUCAUUAUUUACAAAAUACACUAAUGCUGGUCUGCAAUGGACUGGCGACCUGUCCAGGAUGUUCCCUGCCUUUCGCCCAAUGACAGCGGGGUUUGGCUCCAGCCCCCUGCGACUCUGUACGCAGGAUAAGCGGUUGACGAUGGAAGGAUGGAAUAAUGCUGGUAGGCCAGCAAGCCCACCAGCGCGAGAACCAGCAGCGCAAUCACCAGACCGACAAUCCACCAAUAAGACGGUUCUUUUGAAAGGAUUUGCUCUUCUGCACACAGCGUUUGUGGCCUCACCGGCAGGAUUCUUGAUAGUGACUUCAGUGCGUUCGGUGUGAGUGGUGUACGGGAUGAAGAACACACAGGUGUAGCUGCCCGUGUGCUCCGAGUGCUUGGGGUCCAUCAGUCGCAGCGACCCGUCUCCAAACGGGACCCUGAAGCCGUCCAGCUCCACGUGGUUGUCCCAGUAUGACGAGGAUGUGCUGUCCCCCGACCGGCUGUUGUAGCCACACUGUCUCCUCCCCAGACCUGCCAUCCUCAAGCUGUCCACCGGAUGCUCACAGACUGUCCCUCCUUCACCCAUCACCUGACUGCCCUACACAUCCUACACACUGGUUCCCACUUUUAGGUAAACAAUAGGUAGUAGAUACGUGUUGCACUGUAAUAUUAUGGGAUAAUAGUUGCUAUCAGUUAGAGUGAAAGGGUUGGUUUACCAUCUUGAAAGCAGAGAGAAACUUUUAAAUAAUGACGUUCAAACCCGCCUAAACAAACUGGGCUGAAUCGUCACAGUUUAUUUAAACUGUACCUAAGAGUGCUCUUACGUCUGACCUUAUUUAUAAACUCACCUUGCACCUUCACGAUGACCUUAGCAUUGUGUUCGCCCUUCGAGGUGUUCACGUGACACCUGUACGUGCCUCUGUCCUUGAGAGUGCUCCCUUUGAUGAUCAGUGUGGCAUUGCCCCGCGAAAUCAGUUCUGGGACAAUGGAGGCUCGGUCGUCAUCUGUCUUGUGCUCUUCACUGCUGUCAUCAUCAUCUUCAUCAUCAUCAUCAUCAUCAUCUUCAUCAUCAUCGUCGUCGUCGUCGUCCCGCUUGAAUUUGUAAAACUCUGCGUCCUGUUUGAACCACUCGAUGGUCUCUUUGCUGCCUGGCUGGAAGCUGCAGGGGAGCAAGCACUCCUCGGAAACAAAACACGUCACAGUGACAUCUGAAACAAGACACGGAGAGUCAAGAUGAGGUCUCAAUGUACCAAUAUUCUGAUAUCUGAUAUUCUGUUUGUGUGUUUUUAAUUUUUCCAGUUUUCAUAUGAGUUAGUCUGAGGUUGUUAUACUGCUGUAGUUUAGCAACAUGAACGAUGAAUGCCUCUG